rnacentral:lncRNA from 1 species
GGGCUGGUCAUUUGAGGAGCUGUCAAAUUAAGACCUUUGUUGUCCCAGGACAAGCUCCGUUGCAGAGGCCGCAGAGGCCACCAAGAAGAGUGCUCCGUGCAGAGAGUGCAUCCUGAUCCCCGGGACCAGGCCAGGUGUGAGGGGUGCCCUGGCUGAAACUCAGUGCCUUGGUAUUUUUGGAACCUACUUGGGGAAGAAAAAUCUGGAAACCCUGUCCUCCCAGUACUGAGCGUUUUCUGUCUCGGAAGAGGUGGUAGUUGAAGUUCACUUCGGAGCCGCCUGCUGUUUUCACUUUGGGGGACUCUGGAGUUUUAGUUGCACAAACAAGGAAUUGCCUGCAUGUUUCCUGGAUGCAAAUGUCUCAGGAGGGGAUGUCGUACGGGGGUGCUCCCCCCUGCCCUCCUCUCAAUCCUCAUCAGUGCCUGACGAGCUCUGGGCAGCACACCGAGGGAUCCAGACUGGUGCCUUGGGGCUGAGACUCAGGAAGAUCAUGUCUCCUCCCUCCCACUGAGGUCUCUGCCCGGGACCUCACUUCCUAGCCGAGGAGCAGCCUCUUUCCAGGACAACCCAAAGUGGAAAGGUCCUCCUUGGGACAAUUACUCCAGAACUCAGGCGGUGGGUUUCACUCUGUCUAGGUGGCAGCUGCCUGUCCAGCUGAUGAACACCCCACGGCGUGCAGAGGCCGUGCUAUCCCAUGGCUGCUCUGCACACAUG